rnacentral:lncRNA from 1 species
ACCGGGCUUGGUGGCUCAUGCCUGUAAUCCCAGCACUUUGGGAGGCCAAGGCCUGGCUAAUUUUUGUAUUUUUAGUAGAGACAGGGUUUUGCCAUGUUGAUCAGACUGGUCUGGAACUCCUGACCUCAGGUGAUCCACCCGCCUUGUCUGGUGCUCAAAAGGGGGAAGUGGGCCAGGCAUGGUGGCUCACACCUGUAAUACCAGCACUUUGGGACGACAAGGUGGGUGGAUCACUUGAGGUCAGGAGUUCCAGACCAGCCUGGCCAACAUGGUGAAACCGCUUUUCUACUGAAUAUACAAAAAAUUAGC